CUACGGACUUGAUUGUAUUGAGCCUUGGUAUGGAAACCUGCUAAGUGGUAACUUCCAAAUUCAGAGAAACCCUGGAAUUUAGAAGGGGCAAUCCUGAGCCAAAUCCGUGUUUUGAGAAGGGAUUCUCGAACUAGAAUACAAAGGAAAAGGAUAGGUGCAGAGAUUCAAUGGAAGCGGAUCUAACGAAUCGAGUUACUUACGUUG
rfam:Hordeum vulgare subsp. vulgare, WGS project CAJW01000000 data, contig: morex_contig_1513754